ACAUUAAUUGUACCAAUAUAGACAUGGCCUGCAUCCUUUCAGUAUUUGUGUUUUAACUGGGUUUUGGACAUUUAAUCAUCUUUUUUCCAAAUGGUACCGAUUAUUACUAAGUCAGUGUACAAAUAAUGAAUAUAGAGAUGUGAAUUGCAACUGGAGCUCUCAGGUGAUCAAUUUGCAUGACUGGUGUUUCCUGGUAAUAUUCCAAUUUCAUUACUAUUUGUCUCUUUCUCUAAAAUGUAUGCAAGGCCUUUACUAAAAAUGAUUCUGACAUCCUACAGGCAUUUUAUAUUUGGAUUGGAAAAAACUGUGAUAACAACUUCAUAAAAGAUGUCCUUGGAUACCCAAACUAUGUGUCAGUACCACAGAAAAUGACACAACUCCCUGAGGUAGUUGCACUUACUUCAGAAAGGACGUGGUCUUUCAUAGCCUGGCUGAGGGACAACAGACCUUUCAGCCCAGUUCUUCAAGUAAUAAAAGAUGAAACUCCUGCCAAGACAGAGUUUUUUCCGCAUUUAAUUGAAGAUCGGAGAGAAGCAGC